CGCGGCCUAUCAGCUUGUUGGCGGGGUAACGGCCCACCAAGGCAUCGACGGGUAGCUGGUCUGAGAGGACGAUCAGCCACACUGGGACUGAGACACGGCCCAGACUCCUACGGGAGGCAGCAGUGGGGAAUAUUGCGCAAUGGGCGAAAGCCUGACGCAGCAACGCCGCGUGGGGGAUGAAUGCCUUCGGGUUGUAAACCCCUUUCAGCAGGGACGAAAAUGACGGUACCUGCAGAAGAAGCCCCGGCCAACUACGUGCCAGCAGCCGCGGCAACACGUAGGGGGCAAGCGUUGUCCGGAUUUAUUGGGCGUAAAGAGCUCGUAGGCAGUUGCGUAAGUCGGAUGUGAAAACUCAGGGCUCAACCCGGAGACGCCAUUCGAAACUGCGCUGACUAGAGUCCGGUAGGGGAGCAUGGAAUUCCUGGUGUAGCGGUGAAAUGCGCAGAUAUCAGGAGGAACACCAGUAGCGAAGGCGGUGCUCUGGGCCGGAACUGACGCUGAGGAGCGAAAGCGUGGGUAGCGAACAGGAUUAGAUACCCUGGUAGUCCACGCCGUAAACGUUGGGCACUAGGUGUGGGGCCUACUUAACGGGUUCCGUGCCGUAGCUAACGCAUUAAGUGCCCCGCCUGGGGAGUACGG
rnacentral:rRNA from 1 species